rnacentral:rRNA from 1 species
CCUACGGGAGGCAGCAGUAAGGAAUAUUGGUCAAUGGGCGGAAGCCUGAACCAGCCAUGCCGCGUGCAGGAAGACUGCCCUACGGGUUGUAAACUGCUUUUGUACCGGAAUAAACCUUGAUACGUGUAUCAAGCUGAAUGUACGGUAAGAAUAAGGAUCGGCUAACUCCGUGCCAGCAGCCGCGGUAAUACGGAGGAUCCAAGCGUUAUCCGGAUUUAUUGGGUUUAAAGGGUGCGUAGGUGGCUUUUUAAGUCAGGGGUGAAAGACGGUAGCUUAACUAUCGCAGUGCCUUUGAUACUGAAGAGCUUGAAUGAACUAGAGGUAGGCGGAAUGUGACAAGUAGCGGUGAAAUGCAUAGAUAUGUCACAGAACACCAAUUGCGAAGGCAGCUUACUAUGGUUUAAUUGACACUGAGGCACGAAAGCGUGGGGAAUCAAACAGGAUUAGAUACCCUGGUAGUCCACGCCCUAAACGAUGAAUACUCGAUGUUGGCGAUAUACGGUCAGCGUCUAGACGAAGACGUUAAGUUAUUACCACCGUACGGGUAGGUACGACCCGCCGAGGUAGAACGACAAUAGAAGUUAGACGGCGUGAGACGUGACCGACGGACGACGACGAGGGAGGAGG